rnacentral:lncRNA from 1 species
UGGAGAGAAAUGACAAAUGAGGAGUAAAACAAAGUAGGAAAUUCUGAUUUUGCUUCAUUGUUAUUGUACCCUUCUUUUACAGAGCAGGGGAGGACACAACAUGGGCUUGAAGUACUUCUUGAACGUUACCAGUACUUUGCUACAGGAAGGAAGCCGUCACCCCUGGAUCGCGUGCUACCGUCAGUUACAGACACCUGGAAAAAUCGAGACUUGUGCUCACCAUCCGAGCAUCUCUGGAAAAUGAGUGAGUGUGAACCCAAUUUGUUGUGCUGGGUGGGACGGUUAAGGGUCGGCAUUACUAUAUGGCUGAUGGCCACGUUUA